rnacentral:tRNA from 1 species
GAGGGUAUAGCUCAAAUGGUAGAGUGCAUGCUUAGCAUGCAUGAGGGCCUGGGUUCAAUCCCCAGUACCUCCU